rnacentral:rRNA from 1 species
GACAGAGGGUGCUAGCGUUGUUCGGAAUUACUGGGCGUAAAGGGCGCGUAGGCGGCCCGUUUAGUCGGGUGUGAAAUCCCGGGGCUCAACCCCGGAACUGCAUUCGAUACUGGCGGGCUUGAGACCGGAAGAGGUGGGUGGAACUGCGAGUGUAGAGGUGAAAUUCGUAGAUAUUCGCAAGAACACCAGUGGCGAAGGCGGCUCACUGGCCCGGUACUGACGCUGAGGUGCGAAAGCGUGGGGAGCAAACAGG